rnacentral:rRNA from 1 species
GAUGAACGCUGGCGGCGUGCCUAAUACAUGCAAGUCGAGCGAACAGACGAGGAGCUUGCUCCUCUGACGUUAGCGGCGGACGGGUGAGUAACACGUGGAUAACCUACCUAUAAGACUGGGAUAACUUCGGGAAACCGGAGCUAAUACCGGAUAAUAUAUUGAACCGCAUGGUUCAAUAGUGAAAGACGGUUUUGCUUUCACUUAUAGAUGGAUCCGCGCCGCAUUAGCUAGUUGGUAAGGUAACGGCUUAGCAAGGCAACGAUGCGUAGCCGACCUGAGAGGGUGGUCGGACACACUGGAACUGAGACACGGCCCAGACUCCUACGGGGGGCAGCAGUAGGGAAUCUUACGCAAUGGGCGAAAGCUUGACGGAGCAACGCCGCGUGAGUGAUGAAGGUCUUCGGAUCGUAAAACUCUGUUAUUAGGGAAGAACAAAUGUGUAAGUAACUAUGCACGUCUUGACGGUACCUAAUCAGAAAGCCACGGCUAACUACGUG